rnacentral:tRNA from 1 species
GGGGCUGUGGCCAAGCCCGGCAUGGCGACUGACUCCAGAGGCUUGGCGCACACCGGAGAUAUCAGUCGAUCGGGGGUUCAAAUCCCUCCGGCCCCACCA